rnacentral:rRNA from 1 species
UAAAGAAUCUUUCGCAAUGGGGGAAACCCUGACGAAGCGAUACCGCGUGAAUGAUGAAAGUCGUAAGAUUGUAAAAUUCUUUUCUGAGGGAAUAAUUCUGAAGGUACCUCAGGAAUAAGCACCGGCUAACUCCGUGCCAGCAGCCGCGGUAAUACGGAGGGUGCAAGCGUUAUCCGGAAUCAUUGGGCGUAAAGCGUCCGCAGGUGGUUUGUUAAGUUGAGUAUUAAAUCUUGAAGCCCAACUUCAAGGCUGUACUCAAAACUGGCUCACUAGAGCACUUUAGAGGUACAUGGAAUUUUGUGUGUAGGGGUAAAAUCCGUUGAUACACAAAAGAACACCAAAAGCGAAGGCAGUGUACUGGAAAGUUGCUGACACUUAUGGACGAAAGCGUGGGGAGCGAACAGG